rnacentral:rRNA from 1 species
AUUGAACGCUGGCGGCAGGCCUAACACAUGCAAGUCGAACGAGUGGCGGACGGGUGAGUAAUGUCUGGGAAACUGCCUGAUGGAGGGGGAUAACUACUGGAAACGGUAGCUAAUACCGCAUACCAUCAGAUGUGCCCAGAUGGGAUUAGCUUGUUGGUGGGGUAACGGCUCACCAAGGCGACGAUCCCUAGCUGGGCUGAGAGGAUGACCAGCCACACGGGUACUGAGACACGGUCCAGACUCCUAUGUUAGGCAGCAGUGGGGAAGAUUGCACAUGGGUCGAAUGCCUGAGGCAGCCAUGCCGCGUGUAUGAAGAAGGCCUUAGGGUUGUAAAGUACUUGCAGCGGGGAGGCGUUACCCGCAGAAGAAGCACCGGCUAACUCCGUGCCAGCAGCCGCGGUAAUUC